UACGGGGGGAGCAAGCGUUGUUCGGAUUUACUGGGCGUAAAGGGCGCGUAGGCGGCCCGGUAAGUCCGCUGUGAAAGUCGGGGGCUCAACCCUCGAAUGCCGGUGGAUACUGUCGGGCUAGAGUGCGGAAGAGGCGAGUGGAAUUCCUGGUGUAGCGGUGAAAUGCGCAGAUAUCAGGAGGAACACCGAUUGCGAAGGCAGCUCGCUGGGACGUAACUGACACUCAGGGACGAAAGCUAGGGGAGCGAAUGGG
rnacentral:rRNA from 1 species